GGCGGAGUGCCAGAGUGGUUAUUGGGUACGACUAGAAAUCGUAUGGUUUCGGCCGCGCAGGUUCGAAUCCUGUCUCCGUCG
rnacentral:tRNA from 1 species